UACGGAGGGUGCAAGCGUUAAUCGGAAUUACUGGGCGUAAAGCGUGCGUAGGCGGUUAUUUAAGUCAGAUGUGAAAGCCCCGGGCUUAACCUGGGAACUGCAUUUGAUACUGGGUAACUAGAGUUGAGUAGAGGAGAGGGGAAUUUCAGGUGUAGCGGUGAAAUGCGUAGAGAUCUGAAGGAACACCAGUGGCGAAGGCGCCUCUCUGGACUCAAACUGACGCUGAGGUACGAAAGCGUGGGUAGCAAACAGG
rnacentral:rRNA from 1 species